AAGGUCAGCUUGUCGGCGGGACGAUGAUGGCGGGUUUCGACCCUGUUAGGACCUUUGGAAGGUCUUCUUCCCGACCAGUUCUACGUCGGCUAGGCUUUA
rnacentral:tRNA from 1 species